CAGCAGUGGGGAAUAUUGCACAAUGGGGGAAACCCUGAUGCAGCCAUGCCGCGUGUGUGAAGAAGGCCUUCGGGUUGUAAAGCACUUUCAGCGAGGAGGAAAGGUUGAUACCUAAUACGUAUUAGCUGUGACGUUACUCGCAGAAGAAGCACCGGCUAACUCCGUGCCAGCAGCCGCGGUAAUACGGAGGGUGCAAGCGUUAAUCGGAAUUACUGGGCGUAAAGCGCACGCAGGCGGUUGGAUAAGUUAGAUGUGAAAGCCCCGGGCUCAACCUGGGAAUUGCAUUUAAAACUGUCCAGCUAGAGUCUUGUAGAGGGGGGUAGAAUUCCAGGUGUAGCGGUGAAAUGCGUAGAGAUCUGGAGGAAUACCGGUGGCGAAGGCGGCCCCCUGGACAAAGACUGACGCUCAGGUGCGAAAGCGUGGGGAGCAAACAGGAUUAGA
rnacentral:rRNA from 1 species